UUCCUUGAUUUUUGACAUUUUAUUGAACAAUCUUGUUAUUCAGCAAAGGGAAAAGCUUCAUGAAAUGAAGAGGAGACCAGGCCCAAGAUUCUAAAGAUGCUUUCCCAGUGGGAUCACACAGGGUGCUCUUAAUUUCUCUAAUAAUGAAUGGUGGAAAGAGAUCCAUGGUCCAUCUACCAAGGAACUUUAGUGCCUAAGAUUUAUGGAGAGAUGGUCAUAGAGUUACCAACUACCUAACAUAUCAAAGCUCCAAUCUCCCAGAAGGAACACAGUCCUUCCAUCAAUUAUAUUGAGAUAAUGGUGUUUAUCUCCCAGGAUCAUCAUCUGAUAUGUGGCUCCUUGGUAGUCUGGGUCCACUCAGAUUUUCACUCCGUGUAAACAAAAGACAAGAUCCAGCACUUGUGCCAAGAUGUAUUGGCCCAUGGAUAUCUCUUUUGAAAGGAUUCUUGGGCAGGACCAUCCUGGCAUUUUACAGAACAGGGCAUGACAGAAGAUAAUCUUCUCAGGAACACUCCCCUGA